GUUGGUGCAAGUGGUAGAAAACCUGCCUUACAAGCAGGAGGCCCUGAGUUCAAAUCCCAGCACCAACA
rnacentral:tRNA from 1 species